rnacentral:rRNA from 1 species
AUUGAACGCUGGCGGCAGGCCUAACACAUGCAAGUCGAACGAUUGGCGGACGUGUGAGUAAUGUCUGGGAAACUGCCUGAUGGAGGGGGAUAACUACUGGAAACGGUAGCUAAUACCGCAUACCAUCGGAUGUGCCCCGAUGGGAUUAGCUAGUAGGGGGGGUAACGGCUCACCUAGGCGACGAUCCCUAGCUGGUCUGAGAGGAUGACCAGCCACACUGGAAGUGAGACACGGUCCAGACUCCGACGGGAGGCAGCAGUGGGGAAUAUUGCACAAUGGGGGCAAGCCUGAUGCAGCAAUGCGGCGUGUAUGAAGAAGGCCGUAGGGUUGUAAAGUACUUUCAGCGGGGAGGCGUUACCCGCAGAAGAAGCACCGGCUAACUCCGUGCCAGCAGCCGCGGUAAUAC